UUGAGAGCAGUUCAAUGCGGAGCCCCCGCUGGGAGUCCAGCAGUUUGGAUAUCGCUCCGAUGAUUUUGGCUUUUGAGAGCUGUGAAUUCUGGUUGAGUUUAUGAAGUCACAGCUGGCGGCAUUUGAGUACAG